rnacentral:rRNA from 1 species
UACGUAGGGCGCAAGCGUUGUCCGGAUUUAUUGGGCGUAAAGAGCUCGUAGGCGGCCUGUCGCGUCUGCUGUGAAAUCCCGGGGCUUAACCCCGGGCGUGCAGUGGAUACGGGCUGGCUGGAGGCAGGCAGGGGAGAACGGAAUUCCCGGUGUAGCGGUGAAAUGCGCAGAUAUCGGGAGGAACACCGGUGGCGAAGGCGGUUCUCUGGGCCUGUACUGACGCUGAGGAGCGAAAGCGUGGGGAGCGAACAGG